UCUGAAACCAAUAUUGCACUAUAUGUUAACUAAAAUGUAAAUUUAAAAAAUGUUAAAAAAAAAAAGAAAAGAAAAAAGAAAAGCCAUGAGUUAGACAAUCUGACCAAGGAUUGGAAACAAUAUCUAUUGUUCUAGAUACUAUUCAAUUUAUAAGACACUUUCCAACAUUAUUUCAUGUACUUACCUACUCCUACCACUAAAUCUUGGAUGUUGGCAUUGUUCUUUCUAAUUUUUCCCCUUGUUCUUCCCAUUCUCAGAAAGGUGAAGCUUCUUGACCCAGGAACCUAACAGAAACUGGCUUGGAAUUCUUUUUGAUCCCCAGAACAGUGCUCCUUCAGCUCUACUCCAUUGUUACAAAACAUUGGCUGCCACCGAAGGUCAGAGAAUUCUGAAGGUCAGAGCCCAAAGUGGGUCGGGUAGGAGGAUAGACUGAGACAGAAGAGAGAAAUUUCCUGCUUGACAUAAAGGAGCUGGACUUUGCUGUCUACCUCAGAUGCUCCCCUCCCAGCCCUGGGGGUUCUGGUCUGGCCCACGUCUGGAAGAGGAAACAGCAGGGAUGGACUGAAAGAAAAGCUGAACUGUGAGGCAAGGAAUCUUAAGGACAGCCCUGGCCAACCCCACAGGGAGCUUUGGAGCUAAAAGUCUGGCCAAAGUUGCCUCAGGCACCUAAAAGAAGCAAGCCCAGCUGAGGACAAAAGAACCACCCAGUGGAGUCCCACACAAAUUGUCGCCCCACAGUAUAAUGAGCUGAAUAAAUGAUUGUUGUUUUAGAACACUAA